rnacentral:rRNA from 1 species
GAUGAACGCUGGCGGCGUGCUUAACACAUGCAAGUCGAACGAAGCACUUUUUUAGAUUCUCUUCGGGGAUGAAGAGAAAGUGACUUAGUGGCGGACGGGUGAGUAACGCGUGGGUAACCUGCCUUAUACAGGGGGAUAACAGCUGGAAACGGCUGCUAACACCGCAUAAGCGCACAGCAUCGCAUGAUGCAGUGUGAAAAUAUUUAUAGGUAUAAGAUGGACCCGCGUCUGAUUAGCUAGUUGGUGAGGUAAAGGCCCACCAAGGCGACGAUCAGUAGCCGGCUUGAGAGAGUGCACGGCCACAUUGGGACUGAGACACGGCCCAAACUCCUACGGGAGGCAGCAGUGGGGAAUAUUGCACAAUGGGGGAAACCCUGAUGCAGCGACGCCGCGUGAGUGAAGAAGUAUUUCGGUAUGUAAAGCUCUAUCAGCAGGGACGAUAAUGACGGUACCUGACUAAGAAGCCCCGGCUAACUACGUGCCAGCCGCCGCCGUAAGAC